AUUGAACGCUGGCGGCAUGCCUUACACAUGCAAGUCGAACGGUAACAGGUCUUCGGAUGCUGACGAGUGGCGAACGGGUGAGUAAUACAUCGGAACGUACCCGAUCGUGGGGGAUAACGAAGCGAAAGCUUUGCUAAUACCGCAUAAGAUCUACGGAUGAAAGCAGGGGACCGCAAGGCCUUGCGCGAACGGAGCGGCCGAUGGCAGAUUAGGUAGUUGGUGGGAUAAAAGCUUACCAAGCCGACGAUCUGUAGCUGGUCUGAGAGGACGACCAGCCACACUGGGACUGAGACACGGCCCAGACUCCUACGGGAGGCAGCAGUGGGGAAUUUUGGACAAUGGGCGAAAGCCUGAUCCAGCCAUGCCGCGUGCAGGAUGAAGGCCUUCGGGUUGUAAACUGCUUUUGUACGGAACGAAAAGACUCUUUCUAAUAAAGAGGGUCCAUGACGGUACCGUAAGAAUAAGCACCGGCUAACUACGUGCCAGCAGCCGCGGUAAGAC
rnacentral:rRNA from 1 species